GUGGGGAAUCUUCCGCAAUGGACGAAAGUCUGACGGAGCAACGCCGCGUGAGUGAAGAAGGUUUUCGGAUCGUAAAGCUCUUUCGUUAGGGACGAACGUGCUCUUUGUGAAUAAUGAGGAGUAAUGACGGUACCUAAAUAAGAAGCCACGGCUAACUACGUGCCAGCAGCCGCGGUAAUACGUAGGUGGCAAGCGUUGUCCGGAAUUAUUGGGCGUAAAGCGCGCGCAAGCGGGAUAUCAAGUCUGUCUUAAAAGUGCGAGGCUCAACCUCGUGAGGGGACAGAAACUGGUAUUCUUGAGUGUCGGAGAGGAAAGUGGAAUUCCAAGUGUAGCGGUGAAAUGCGUAGAGAUUUGGAAGAACACCAGUGGCGAAGGCGACUUUCUGGACGAUGUCUGACGCUGAGGCGCGAAAGCUAGGGGAGCGAACGGGAUUAGAUACCCGGGUAGUCC
rnacentral:rRNA from 1 species